UUCCAAGCCCAGGGUCAGCUCAAGGA
rnacentral:piRNA from 1 species